AGCAGUGUGGCUUAGUGGAAAAGAGCACUGACUUGAGAGUCAGAGGACCGGGGUUCUAAUCCCGACUCUGCCA
rnacentral:tRNA from 1 species